CUAUAAUAUUCACUGUAGUGUUUUUGCAGACUUUACUGUAGUAUUUACUGUUAACUAUAGCGUAAAAACUGUAGUAAAAGGAAAACUUUAGUGUAUACUAUAGUAAUUAAUGUAGUGUUUUUUGCGGAUUGUAAUAUACUGUAGUGUUUUUGCUGACACUACUGUAGUAUUUACUAUAGUGUUAUUGCAUUAUAAUCUUUGACAUAGAAGUGAAGGCUUUCUCCUUCAAGAAACCUUCUGGAGAACUAAUAAAAGAGCACAUUUAGCAUAACCUGUAGGUAGGUAGGACUGGGGUCUGAACGGAUAGUUCAGAGCUUCUGCUCUUUUCCAUAACCUGUAAGGAACACAAUAUAUGGUCUAUACUUGGCAUGUAGGUUUCUCACUUAUGGGUGGCACAAAUUGCGAUAUUGAGUAGGGGAAUGGUCAGGGUAUAUACAAAGGAAAUACUGUAGUAUUUACUAUAGCUUACUGUAGUAUUUGUGUAGUAUUUACUACAUUUUUUUGUCGGGAUAAUACUGUAGUAUUUACUAUAGUAUUCUACAGUAUACUACAACAUUCUAUAGUAAGUACUACACAUGAUCGAGGGAUACUACAUUGUGUAAUAUAAUAUUCUACAUUUUACUAUAUCAUUAUUUUCUAUAGUAAGUACUGUAGUAUUCUAUAGUAAACUGUAGUAUAUUUUCAUGUGUGUGUGUCUCUCUCUCAAUCAACAGAUCUCAACCCAAUUAACCCUUAUGGGAGAUUCUGAAACGCGACGCCUGAGACAGCGUUUUCCACCACCAUCAACAAAACACCAAAUUAUAGAGUUCCAGACAUUAGAAUCUAUUCCAAGGCACAUUGAAGCUGUUCUGGUGGCUCGUGGUGGCCCAAUGCCCUAUUAAGACACUUUAUGUUGGUGUUUCCUUUAUUUUGGCAGUUACCUGUAUAUAAUAUAUGUUAAUACAGUAUGUGACCUGCAAAAUCAACAUAGCUGUGUGUUAAAAUGGGAUAUUAUAUGACUAUGGCUGCAGUGUUUGAGCGGAGUUGGUACGAUAAAUGCGCAACUGAAAGCACAAUUGUUUGGAGACUUUGGAACCUGCAAAACUGGUGGUUUUAUGCUCUGUAAUGAAAUGUUUUCCAGAUACAUAAUCAUGUGACAGACAGGAGGUACUUGUAGAGGUCAGCUCCAUUGGAAGAAAGCUGAGUAUCGAAUCCACUUAGUUAACUAUAGAGUAUGGAGUCUUCCAUUGAAGAAAUGUCAUGCUUGGUCUGCAGACUGAAGUUAUAUCAAAUUUACUGGUUAAUUAAUGGUUAAUUUCCCUUAGUUUAUUCUGUAAAUGCUUAACAGUGCCUUUCUUGCAUUUUAAUAUGAUUAUAGUUAUUUUUUCUCCACUGGGCUGCAUAUGUAGCUACAGUGCCUAGCUACGUAGAAUAACUCAUACAGGUGUAAGCUCAGUUUCUGAAACUUGGAUAACACACUUUUAAUGGCUGCAAAUCUACUACAGUACAUCUUCUAUAUCACUUGUACUGUCAUUUAUUAUCCAAAACAGGCCUAAAAGGGCAAUUCAACCACUUUUCAACCUUAUUUUCAUUAUCUCCAGCACAAUUACAUCAUCUUCAUAUAUGAAAACGGCACUUUUCUAGAAAAAAUAUAUAAAGUAAAAAAGUAUGCGAACAUCAAAAAUAAACAUUUAUUUAACAGUGAUUCCCUAACACUAUGAGACUCGCGAUGAUGUGGGGAGCAAGAAAAUACCCUCCCUCUGGCUAGAAACUCAUUGCAGGUUUUGAAAAUCACAGUUUUGUUUACUUUUAAUCCUACCCUGUUUUAAGGACUUUUCUCAUUAUCUUUUUAACCACAGAUCAUAGAAACGGCCUAUUUUCACAUACACUGAGGGUGUUUCUCAAUAUGCAUACUACCUUGCUCCACACUCUCAUGCUCUGAAUGCAUUCUCCAAUGCUUUCUCUUGAGUAUGUUCUUGUGAGGACGAGCGUGUGGAGAAUGCAUAAAACAUUACGUUUUGAGAAGCACUCACACUUCCCCCUACUGUAUUACCUCAUGCUUCACUUCCCCAUUCCCUGAACCUUCAUCCAGCCAGGACAAUGGCAAGAAUAGACUAAACAAAAAAUGACCUCAAAUUAAUAUUACGCAAGAUAUUUGUCAAUUCUUCAUGGGUAGCUAGCUAACUAUUCUUCAUGGCUAUCUGGCUAGCUAAAAGUAGUAGCUAGCCAGAUAGCCCUAUUGACUUAUUAUGGGUUUGCGAUCUAUGGUACGUAGGCAGGUAAACAUUAACACAGCAUGUAUUUAUUAACAUAUCAAGAUAAAAUAUUGUAGUCAGGCAACAUAUGAGAUGGGAAGAGGCAACAUUUCAUUCCGAAGUCAGUGUAUUUUCUCUCGCUUCAGCUUAAAUAAUGGCCGUCAUUUUUACGUGGCUGCGUCAUAUUUCUUUGCAUACUUUCAAUUCUUUCAGUUGAAGCUUGCAUUGAUGCAUGCUUCAAAAUAUGUACUAUUAUACAAUGGGUGGGUCUAAUCCUGGAUGCUGAUUGGUUAAAACCACAUUCCAGCCGCGUCUAUUCCACAAGUUACCACCGGCUAACUCUAUGACUUUGAAAUAUCUAUUUACUCUCACUGCGCAAUCCACUGUCUCAUCAACCCAGCCAGGCAAUUUAUAAACUUGAUCUCUACUAUAAAAAGCAUCUAGACAUUAUCUCCCAUUUCUUUUAGACUAUCAUUUGGUUUUCAACGGCAGAGAUUUGUAUAAACUGUGCAGUCUGUCUGCCCCGACAUUUGCAACAUUGUUUCAAUAUUGAAAUUUAUCUCCAGCUGUCCUGUAGUAAUGAACAUGUCGGGACCAGACAGACAGACAGAUUUUCUUAGCCAGUCGAAAUCAUGAAUCAGCUGGUAUCAUUUUUAUGAAUAUAUACAAAGAAAUGUCAACAGAAAACAGGACAAACUAAAUGAAGUUGAAGAACAGCUAGUCUGCAGUCUUUCUAGCUUCAGACUGAAGUGAUUCUGUUAGCUGUAUUGUUGGCUAGCUCCUAUGAUCAACAAUGUCCUAACUAGAGAGCACAUUUUCUAUGUCAGGCGAAAUCGCGCAUCAUUAGCUCAUUGUUAUGGAUGUAUCUAAAUAAAUGUCACUAGAAAACAGUUUAAACAAAUAACAGCAAAUGUAGCCACUUUGCUGUUAUUCUGGCCGUAGUUAGCCGUAGUUGGCUAGCUAUCAAACAAGGAUUAAGAACGUUGCCAGCCAGUACGGCAAUGGAACAUUUAGAACUAACUACAGAGUUGCGUCCAUGGAUGCAGAACAAAAAGAUAUAACGACUGGGUCGUGUCUCUGGCAACCGAACCAAUAGAUCGAAUGACCAGCCUUGUGUAGUAACCUUAGAUUUGUGUCGGGACUAUAUCUCGUGGCAGAAUGAAAUAAUAUGAAUUCAUUUAUCAAAAUAAUGUUUUUUAUGACAAUAUGUCAAUCAUUAUUUGAAUAUGUUGGUAACUCCUUGUAUAAAAGUGAUAAUUCCCUUGAAGCUGGAGAAGACAGGAUAAUUGUAAAGAAUGAUUUUUAAACCUUCAGACAAUUGAGACAUGGAUUGUGUAUGUGUGCCAUUCAGAGGGUGAAUCGGCAAGACAAAAGAUUUAAGUGCCUUUGAACGGGGUAUGGUAGUAAGUGCCAAGCGCACCAAUUUGAGUGUGCCAAGAACUGCAAUGUGGCAAGGUUUUUCACACUCAACAGUUUCCCAUGUGUAUCAAGAAUGGUCCACCACCCAAUAGACAUCCAGCCAACUUGACACAACUGUGGGAAGCAUUGGAGUCAACAUAGGCCAGCAUCCUUGUGGAACGCUAUCGACACGGUGUAGAGUCCAUGCCCCUACCAAUUGAGGCUGUUCUGAAGACAAAGGGGGGUGGAACUCAAUAUUAGGAAGGUGUUUCUAAUGUUUUGUACACUCAGUGUAUGUAGAUACUGUUUUGGUGCUGGAGAUAAUGAAUACGGCAGAAUUGCCCUUGAAAAUACAUGGUUGAUAAUGUUAACAUUCCUAAUUCUUUCAAAUUAAUGUAUUAAAGUGCACAUAACAGAGGUUACAAGAUCUCUGUGGAGGAGAAAUACAAAAUGAAUUGUAAUAUUAUACAUCAAUAAACUAC
ensembl:lncRNA